UACGGGGGUGGCAAGCGUUGUUCGGAAUUACUGGGCGUAAAGUGUGCGCAGGUGGCUUCGCAAGUCGAGUGUGAAAGCCCCGGGCUUAACCUGGGAAUUGCGCUCGAAACUACGGAGCUGGAGUAUGGCAGAGGGAGGUGGAAUUCCACGUGUAGCGGUGAAAUGCGUAGAGAUGUGGAGGAACACCAAUGGCGAAGGCAGCCUCCUGGGCCAAUACUGACACUCAUGCACGAAAGCGUGGGGAGCAAACAGG
rnacentral:rRNA from 1 species